AUUGAACGCUGGCGGCAGGCUUAACACAUGCAAGUCGAGCGGGGUGAUGGUGCUUGCACUAUCACUUAGCGGCGGACGGGUGAAUAAUGCUUAGGAAUCUGCCUAUUAGUGGGGGACAACAUCUCGAAAGGGAUGCUAAUACCGCAUACGUCCUACGGGAGAAAGCAGGGGAUCACUUGUGACCUUGCGCUAAUAGAUGAGCCUAAGUCGGAUUAGCUAGUUGGUGGGGUAAAGGCCUACCAAGGCGACGAUCUGUAGCGGGUCUGAGAGGAUGAUCCGCCACACGUGGACUGAGACACGGCCCAGACUCCUACGGGAGGCAGCAGCGGGGAAGAUUGGACAAUAGGGGGAACCCUGAUCCAGCCAUGCCGCGUGUGUGAAGAAGGCCUUAUGGUUGUAAAGCACUUUAAGCGAGGAGGAGGCUCUUUUGGUUAAUACCCAAGAUGAGUGGACGUUACUCGCAGAAUAAGCACCGGCUAACUCUGUGCCAGCCGCCGCAGUAA
rnacentral:rRNA from 1 species